GUCUUUUUGUUAAAAAUUUUAAGUCGGGCCUGCCCACUGAUAUUUUAAAUGGCCGUGGUAUUUUGACCGUGCUAAGGUAGCAUAAUCAUUAGUUUUUUAAUUGAAAGCUGGAAUGAAGGGUUUGAUAAAAAAAUGACUGUCUCUAUUUAAUUUUAUUAAAAUUUUAUUUUUAAGUUCAAAAGCUUAAUUUUUAUUAAAAGACGAGAAGACCCUAUAGAGUUUAAUAAUAAAAUUUAAUUUUUAUUUAAGAAUUAAUUUAUUUAUUAUUUUUUAUUAUUUAGUUGGGGUGAUUGAAAAAUUUAAUUAACUUUUUUUUAUAUUAAACCAUUAAUUUAUGAUUAUUUGAUCCAAUUUUUUUGAUUAUAAGAUAAAAUUACCUUAGGGAUAACAGCGUAAUUUUUUUAGAAAGUUCAAAUUAAAAGAAAAGAUUGCGACCUCGAUGUUGGAUUAAAAUUUAAUUUUGGUGUAGAAGCUAAAAAUUUUAAG
rnacentral:rRNA from 1 species